UACGUAGGGCGCAAGCGUUAUCCGGAAUUAUUGGGCGUAAAGAGCUUGUAGGCGGUUUGUCGCGUCUGCUGUGAAAUUUCGGGGCUCAACCCCGAACUUGCAGUGGGUACGGGCAGACUAGAGUGUGGUAGGGGAGACUGGAAUUCCUGGUGUAGCGGUGAAAUGCGCAGAUAUCAGGAGGAACACCGGUGGCGAAGGCGGGUCUCUGGGCCGAUACUGACGCUGAGGAGCGAAAGCGUGGGGAGCGAACAGG
rnacentral:rRNA from 1 species